rnacentral:rRNA from 1 species
GUUACUGCUAUCGGUGUUCGACUAAGCCAUGCGAGUCAAAUGUUCUUCGUGAACAUGGCGGACUGCUCAGUAACACGUGGAUAACCUGCCCUUAGGUUCGGCAUAACUCCGGGAAACUGGAGAUAAUUCCGAAUAGGUCAAAUAUGCUGGAAUGCUUUUUGGCCAAAAGACCUCGGUUGCCUAAGGAUGGAUCUGCGGUCUAUCAGGCUGUAGUGGGUGUAACGUACCUACUAGCCUACGACGGAUAUGGGUUGUGAGAGCAAGAGCCCAGAGAUGGAUUCUGAGACAUGAAUCCAGGCCCUACGGGGCGCAGCAGGCGCGAAAACUUUACAAUGCGGGAAACCGCGAUAAGGGGACACCGAGUGCCAGCAUUUAUGUUGGCUGUCCACAUGUGUAAACGGCAUGUGUUAGCAAGGGCCGGGCAAGACCGGUGCCAGCCGCCGCGGUAACACCGGCGGCCCGAGUGGUAAUCACUUUUAUUGGGUCUAAAGGGUCCGUAGCCGGUUUGAUCAGUUCUUCGGGAAAUCUGACAGCUCAACUGUUAGGCUUCCGGGGAAUACUGUCAGACUUGGGACCGGGAGAGGUAAGAGGUACUACAGGGGUAGGAGUGAAAUCUUGUAAUCCCUGUGGGACCACCAGUGGCGAAGGCGUCUUACCAGAACGGGUCCGACGGUGAGGGACGAAAGCUGGGGGCACGAACCGGAUUAGAUACCCGGGUAGUCCCAGCCGUAAACGAUGUUCGCUAGGUGUCAGGGGCGGUGCGACCGCUUCUGGUGCCGUAGGGAAGCCGUGAAGCGAACCACCUGGGAAGUACGGCCGCAAGGCUGGAACUUAAAGGAAUUGGCGGGGGAGCACUACAACGGGUGGAGCCUGCGGUUUAAUUGGAUUCAACGCCGGA